rfam:Lachnoclostridium sp. YL32, complete genome.
UCCAUCGUGAGGUGGAAUCUGAAGGAUGGACUUAUGUCAAUACUUUGGACACAAAAAGUUGAAAGUUUAUUCU